rnacentral:rRNA from 1 species
AUGAACGCUAGCGGGAGGCCUAACACAUGCAAGCCGAGCGGUAGAGAUCUUUCGGGAUCUUGAGAGCGGCGUACGGGUGCGGAACACGUGUGCAACCUGCCUUUAUCAGGGGGAUAGCCUUUCGAAAGGAAGAUUAAUACCCCAUAAUAUAAGAAACGGCAUCGUUUUUUAUUGAAAACUCCGGUGGAUAGAGAUGGGCACGCGCAAGAUUAGAUAGUUGGUGAGGUAACGGCUCACCAAGUCUACGAUCUUUAGGGGGCCUGAGAGGGUGGUCCCCCACACUGGAACUGAGACACGGACCAGACUCCUACGGGAGGCAGCAGUGAGGAAUAUUGGACAAUGGGUGCGAGCCUGAUCCAGCCAUCCCGCGUGAAGGACGACGGCCCUAUGGGUUGUAAACUUCUUUUGUAUAGGGAUAAACCUACCCUCGUGAGGGUAGCUGAAGGUACUAUACGAAUAAGCACCGGCUAACUCCGUGCCAGCAGCCGCAGUAAUAC